AUGUGGCUGCUGAACGUUUUCAUCCUGACAGCUGCUUUUUCCUGUGGUUCUGCACGAGUCUUGCAACAAACCCCCAUAUCCAUCACCAAGCCAGAAAGCAAAACAGUGCUGAUCAACUGCCACAUCUCCGAUCCUGGUUUUAACAACAUUUUCGUUCACUGGUACCGAAAGAGGCCCAAUGCAGCUCCCAAGCGCAUCGCCUACAUGUCCUCCAGGCUCUACCUUGAAAACAAGUCUGAUGAGGGGAAAUUUAGCAUUGAGAAGGACCACGCCAAAUCUGUCUGCACCCUGACAGUGAGCAAAGUAACUCUGCAAGACUCCGCUACCUACUACUGUGCUGUGUGGGAUGCACAUCAGUCGAAAGCCAUAGGGGACCUGCACAAAGACGUGCUCUGCUUUUUGAGCCAGAUCCUGAAGUAUUUGACAACAUGCGGAACCAUCCCCACCCUACUGUCCCCAUCAGCCUUGAGUCAGACAGACUCUACAGGCAGCCGGAUACCAAAGACGCGGCUGUGCUAG